rnacentral:lncRNA from 1 species
AGGCUUCUUCUCCCUUGAUGGAACAAUGAAUUAGGGUUGAGAGGCUCCCUCCUCCAGGGGCCAGGGGGUCUGGUUUUAUAGUCCCUUCAAGUGAAUAUGGGCCAUUAGAUCAAACCGACAUAGAUUGUAUGGUUUAGAUUCAUCCUUUAGGUUGGUGGAGAUCUCCCGCAAAGCAGAGUCCUGAUUGGACUCCUGGAGAGGGCAGGCGCCCAGGGGAACAGGGCGGGCGCCUUGCCUCUGGCCUCGUUUCGCCUCCGCUUCGGUCUCGUGGCUUCUGGAGUCCUCUAGAUGUAAGAUAAUUGCGCGGCACGUUAAUAUCUUUACGGAAUCCCGACGUGUGGGCCUUUCUUCCGUAUUUCCUGAUAACCCCCUGCAGAAAUAGACAAACACCAAAACUCGUGGAAUUCUGUCAGAUAAAACCCUAAGUCUAGAUGUUGAUUUCAUUUGGAUCCUUUUCUUUAUUUAUUUGAUAAUUAAAUUUGAUACUUAAGGACCGUCAACAAACUCCCCCAAGCUUACCUCUUGCUCGUCCCUGAGCAAGGAUAGACUCAGCUAUGGAUCAUAAGUUGCUGCAAUAUCUUUAAAAAUUGACGGUACACAUGCUUUUAAAUAAGAUCUCAUCUCUGAGUUAGAGUAAACUGUCAAGACUUAAAACUUACUUACUUUACCUUCACCAUGGGACUUGUAACCGUCACUUCUGUCUUGAGUAGUUAAAAGAUAGAACAGUCCAGCCAAGUGCCAUAUCUCUUAUUCUUGAUCAGCUAUAGCUCUGGGGUUUUUGCAGAUUUUCAAAUAAAACUCAGAGAUUCCUUGUAUGACUCUCUCAAAUCUCUCUUUUGAUGGUAUAUGCCUUCUCUCAAGAUAUGUAGUAUUUGUGGUAUAAAGCAUAGUGACAUUGCCUUCUCUCUCACCCUACUCUAAUAAGGCUUUAAUAUCUGGUGCUCAUAGGUGGGAGAUAAAGUAUACAUACUUACAAGACAUGUAUUGCAUAGUCAAACCAUGGAUCCAAAGAAACAAAUCAAUAAGUUUAAUCAAGAUGUGCAUGUGUGGCGAAUGAAUGGUGUAUGGUGAUGAUGGUAAUAACAAUGGUGAAAACAAUGGUGGUGGAAGUCUAAUUCUACUUUGCUCUUUGAGGGGAUACAUACCUUUCUUGCUUUUUGAAACUUUAUGAGGAGAAUGAGAUGCUCUAUAUUUUUUUCUUUUCUCUCAGGUGGGUAUCUUGCACCCCCUAAUUCUACUGUCGGACACUUGUCCAUUUUUACCUCUCGUCUCACUUUUUUCUUUUUCUUUCGAGGUUCCGAGCACUUGCUCCUUUUUAUUUCCUCGUAUCUUUUUAUUUUCUUCUUUUUUUUAGAGCACUCAUCUCAUGAGAUAAUAUAGCAAGUGGUAGUAACAAGAUAACUUCAGCAUUUAUUUCACAAGGGAAAAACAGAAAUAUUUUUUGGUUAUUCUCUCCCGGAUUAGGAGUAGAAUAUUUUUGGGUGAUUCUGGAGAUGGAAUGGGUGGAUAUAUGUGGAUGGUACUUCCGGAGUAGAAGUAGCAUAUAUGAGUGGACGUGGAAGUGAAAUCUUGAUUUAACCACAUGACAAGUUCCUAAGGGUCUACACAGCUUGACCACACUCAAUGCUCAUAAGCAGUAAAUAGUAAAUGUGUGGCUCAAAGUCCAGCAAGCAUGUAUAUAUGGCUGUGGGAGGAAUUUAAACUCUCAUCAUACAGGAACUCAUCAUGCAACAUUUUAAAGAUUUUCAAAAUUUUCCAGAAUUCUAGCAUCUCUAGGAACAGAUAAACAGCAGCCCAACCUUCCCAUAUCGUAUCCGUUAACAACUUAGACUUCAGAUCAAAUUUUCAUCCCACAAGUUUAGGUCUAGGGCAAGCUUUAAAUUAUAACAGCUAUGUCUAAACUUAAGAGAGAACUUAAAAUGUGCAAAUUAGGCAGAGCAACUAUUCAUCAUAUCCAUGCUUAAGUUUUAUUUAGAUACAGAUUAGCAUAGCCACUUUAUUUAUUUAUUAAACACACUAAGCAAAAGAUAUAUAUAUAUAAGCAUAAAAUCUUUAUUUGUUUUUUCAUAGUUUAUGUAUUUUAAUAUUCUAAUAUAAUAGAAGUAUAAAGAUAGAUAGAUAGAAAUACUUAUCGAGAUAAAUGGGGGUGCUCUCCCCCAAGCUGAAUUUUGACGUAAUUUCUCUUGAUGUAGCUAGCAGGUGGCAGAGGUGUAUUUGAAAGUCAGCAGCAUUCUGACAGCGAUUAGAAUGUCCUCCGUCUGCUAGUCUUCCUAAAUUCUGUGGAGCUCGAAUAGACAACAAAGAUUGUGGAACUGAUUAAGUGUUAGCAUAAAUAUCUAGCCUUUAUCAUGUUGAGACUCCUUAAUAAUUAUUACUCCCUGUUUUUAUAUUUUCAUUUUUAUAAAGCAGAAAAGAAAUAUUUAUUUUAUUUUUAUACCACCACAGUGAAUGUACUUAUGGGUUUUAUGCCACUCGUAUACUCACAUGGGGCUUACUGUUUUUCAUAUUUUUUUAUUUUCUUUUUAGAAUAGCACAAACAUGAUUAACUAAAUAAACUAGUUGAAAUAAUUAAAAGAGAAAGGAUAACUACCAAGUUUACCUCUUGGCAAGGCGUUCGGUGUUUUUAAGUCCUCCGAAUGGGACUCUCCAUUUUCUUAAUCGUCCUGAGGUUCGUUGGGUGGCGUAGUCAGUACUUCCGGCAGCGCCUCCUCUUCAUGUAUAGUUAUCUUCAUUUUCCACACCUGGCUCGGUGCUUCAAUCUCCUCUGGAUAAUUCUGUUUAAACUCAGCAUCUUCUGAUCUUACAACUUCUCCUUCGUAGUCUGCCCAUCCGUCCUUGAUGAUCUGCCUCCUUUGGAUGCGGUUGCGUCUUUUCCUUACCUGCUUCGAUUCUUCAACGAUAUAGUUAGGGUCAGUAAAGUAACGGCGUACCUUCUCUGAGGGGAAGUGCAUAUGGAUUUCUCCGGUUCCAAUGUAGAUAAUUGCUUUAACGGUGCUGAGGAACGGUCUUCCAAGGAUGAUGGGUGGAUCGUACUCAUCUUCUCCCAUGUCAAUAACUUGAAAGUCUGUGUAGACAAAAUGAUCGUCUAUUCUGACUGGGACAUCAGUUACUGUUCCUUUAACUUCUCGAAAUGUCUGAUCUGCCAUCUGGAGCUGAAUGUAUGUUGGUCUUAGUGGCAUGGUUCCGAACAAGAGCCGAUAGGUGACUGCGGCCAUUAUGUUGACGCCCGAUCCGGUGUCACAAGUUGCCUUGUAGAAGUUGUAUCCAUUUAUGGAGCAGUAGAUGCUUGGCAUUCCUGGGUCGUCCUUCUUAGUCAAAAGCGGUGACUUAAGUUGGUGAUCUUGGCCUCUAUGAACUACAGUGACCAUCUUAGCUGAUUCGGUCCACACUUGCUUGUUUCUGUUCCUCCUGUUGGUCCUCUUCCUUGAUUCACGUCUGGAUUGAUCUAGAAUUUGUGUAGUCUUGUUCUUGAAGAAAAAUGUCUCCUUCCUCCCUUUGACGUAGAAACUGAUCUUGGCAGCACUGGCGUAGAUGAUAGCUCCCGUGGUGUUCAAGAAUGGCCUCCCUAAGAUGAUGGGUGCUCUCUCAUCAUUUUCGGUCUCUACUACUACGAAGUCUGCUAGGGCAUACAAGGUACCAACUCGGACACAAAGGUUCUUCAAUAUUCCUUUUGGAAAAGUUAUCGUCUGAUCUGCAAACUGCAAACACAUGGUUGUUUCUAAUAAAGGAUAUGUAAAGAAUUUUUCAUAGAGUACCCUGGGUAUAAUGUUGACGCUGGAGCCAAAGUCGCAGAGUGCUUCUGGAACGUCCACCAUGCCGAUGGAGAUCAGGAUGACGGGGCGUCCUGGAUCGUCUCUCUUGACCGGCAGAAGGUCAGUAGAGAAUUCAUUGACGGGGUUACUCCAAUUACCUGCAUCAAACAUGUCUACAAGAUUUGCAGAUUCUAAUCCUUCCGGUUGUGAUGGUAUACCAGGGUUAGUAGUAGGAACAGCAGCAGCUAUUUGAUUUAACUGAGAUUCAAUCAUUUUAUUAAAGCUAAUUUGAUUCUUGAUGGCAGUAGAGAAAUUAUCCAUUCUAUUAUUUAUAUUUUCUAGCAUUUUAUCAUUAGAUGCCAAUUUCUUAGAUAGGUUAUCCAUUAGCUUUCCUUGAUUAGACACUAACUCUCUCAAAGGUGGAAAAUUAUUAUUAUUGUUGUAAGAAUUGUUACCUUGAUAAUUACCUGAGUAGUUAGGCCUCUGUUGAUUCCAACCUUGAUUUUGUUGAGGACGGUUGUAGUAGUUGUUGUUGUUGUUGAUGUAGUUUACAUCCUCAAGUAUCUCAGGGCAGUGAUUGCCUGAGUGUCCAGUGUCUCCACACUCCUCACAAGUCAUGUGAGAGUCGUAGAUGUGCAUAACUUCCUUCUUAUCUCCAGCUCUAUCGUCGAGCUUCUUCAUGAGCAGGUCUAGCUUUGCAGACAGCAUGUCUACCUCCUUCAGCUGAUGCAUACCUCCACCUCUCUUGUGUGUCUGGGUCCUCUCUUCAUUCCAGCUUUGAUGGGACGCCAUCUUCUCCACAAGAGUUGUGGCUUGUGGUAUAGUAAGUGAUAAGAAUGCUCCUCCAGCUUCAGCAUCCAUGGUCUCUCAGGCACUGUUGUUGAGCCCAUGAUAAAAUGUCUGCAUCAAUAGCCAACUCUCCAUUCCAUGAUGGGGACAUUCUAGGAUGAGUCUUGAAAGCGCUCCCAUGCUUCUGGAACAGAUUCAUCAUUUUGUUGCUGAAAACUUGUAAUCUUCCCACGGAGAGCAUUGGUCUUGCCCAUGGGAAAGAACUUUGCCAGGAAGUUUGUUGAGCAGAGUGCCCACGUAGUAUUCUUCUCCUUUGUAGCGUAAAACCACUGCUUCGCUCUUCCUAACAGUGAGAAAGGGAAGAGGCGAAGUAGUAUAGCAUCUUUGGAAACUCCUGAUAUGGUGAAUCCGUAGCAAAUCUCCAGGAAGUGUUGUAAAUGAGCACUAGCGUCUUCGUGUGCCUUCCUACAGAACUGGUUGGAUUGCACCAUGUUGAUAAGUCCAGGCUUGAGCUCAAAGUUGCCGUCGAUUUCUGCAGCAGGUCCAGUGCGGAUGUUGUCCGUAGUGGGAGCUGAGAACUCGCGGAUUGAUUUGUUCGCCAUGGCUUCGAACUUUGAAGACAAGUUCCGGUGAUCUUCUUGAUUGGAUGAAGCUUUUUGCUGAAGUGUUGAUGAUCUCUUCUUGAGCUUGGCUCUCGUCUUCUUGAAUAAUGCUUCGGGAUUGUCAACAAAAUUUCCUGGAAGAUGUCUUCUAUUCAUACAUUCCCCUGCAUAAGAUAAAAUAGGAAAAUAUCAGGGUAAAACUGUAUGAGAGAAUAGAUAAGCUCAAUCAUAUUAGUGAUGCGAAUGAUAACUCAAAAUCUUUUAUUCCAUUCCUGAUUAGUAAUCAACCUUCCCCGGCAACGGCGCCAAAAAUGCUUGUUGGGUAUUCUUAACAUCAUUACCAAAAGUAGACUAAGUUCUCUAAAUCUAGUAACGGUGCCAAAAAUGUCAAACCUAUCCCUCACGUCACUUAAGCCAAGUUGUCAUCCCCAGCAUGAUAUAAGAGACGCGGUAUUGAAAUAUGCAAUUGCUCUUCUAAAUAAAUAAUGAAUGGGAUCUGCAAGCGCACAGAUUAAUACCGAUGCAGCAUUUUAACCGGGAAGUAUUCCAGGUAUCGUUAUUUAUAUUUUUACCACUGGGAAGGGAUUAGCAAUCAUCACUAUUGAUUACAGAAUAGAAUAUGAGAUUGAGCAUCUAUCAUUUCAUGUAUAAUUGAGAACAUUAUAUCUAACUCUUCAAACAGGGAUAAGUGUCACAUAAAAGAUAUAUGAAAUAAUAAUAGUGACAAGGAUAACUAAUCUGAUCUAGCCACAUAUUAAAUAUGAUAAGCACCUCAAUUAGAUACUCUAGAAAGUCAUUAGCAUGGUAUUAGAACGAACUACAAGAAUAUUCCCUAAGUUAUUCUCAACUAUAUAGUCUAGCAUAUCAUAGUUAGUGCAAGCAUACUUAGCAAUCAUUGUGAGACAAGACUACGCCCAUGCAUAGUGAUAUUAGCAAGGAAUAUGAGAAACAUAGCAAUCACUCCCCUGUAAUAAUGUUGCUCUGCCAGCCCAAUACACGAGAGGGGGACUAUAUAAGAAUCAAUGAAGCUGUCACUAUCACGAACCACCCCACGAUCUGGUAUAUUGGGUACAAUCGCAGAUAAAUACGGUAUAAGCACCACGCCUACACAAUAUCUAUCAUUUACCCAUGGAUCCGAUGGAUAAAUGCUAUACGAUCCUAAGCAUGUAUAUAGAUCUAAUCUAACUAAGCCAAGUACAUAACUAUGAUAAACUAAGAACAAUAUAAUCUUGAAUAUAAGCAAGUAGAGCAAAGUCAUAAGCAAUAUAUUGAAGUAGAACAAAGUCAUAUUCAUAAUAUUGAAGAACAAAGAUAAUUAGAAAGCAAUUAGAAGCACAAUUAGAGAAUUACCAAGAAUCCUCCUGACAGAUCCGGAAACCAAUCGAAGAUUGACUCCUCCUAGUUCUAAUCCUAUGUAGCUAUGCUAAUCUAGAUAUCUAAUUGAUGUGGUGGCUCUAAUCUUGAUCAGAGGCUUCUUCUCCCUUGAUGGAACAAUGAAUUAGGGUUGAGAGGCUCCCUCCUCCAGGGGCCAGGGGGUCUGGUUUUAUAGUCCCUUCAAGUGAAUAUGGGCCAUUGGAUCAAACCGACAUAGAUUGUAUGGUUUAGAUUCAUCCUUUAGGUCGGUGGAGAUCUCCCGCAAAGCAGAGUCCUGAUUGGACUCCUGGAGAGGGCGGGCGCCCAAGGGAACAGGGCGGGCGCCUUGCCUCUGGCCCCGUUUCGCCUCCGCUUCGGUCUCGUGGCUUCUGGAGUCAUCUAGAUGUAAGAUAAUUGCGCGGCACGUUAAUAUCUUUACGUAAUCCUGACGUGUGGGCCUUUCUUCCGUAUUUCCUGAUAACCCCCUGCAGAAAUAGACAAACACCAAAACUCGUGGAAUUCUGUCAGAUAAAACCCUAAGUCUAGAUGUUGAUUUCAUUUGGAUCCUUUUCUUUAUUUAUUUGAUAAUUAAAUUUGAUACUUAAGGACCGUCAACAAUUAUCAAUCAUAACUAUAUCAAAUAUAGAACUAGAGCAAACUAAGAACAUAAUAAUUAGAGAUAUAAUGCAAUUAGAACAAAGAAUUAGAGAAAGAUAUGAAUAAUACCAAUCUUUAUUACCGAAGAUCUGAAUCCAGAGUGUAGCGCUCUACUUCUCCAAUUGCUAUCUAAUCAAACCUCUAAACUUGAAGGAUUAGGGAGUAGCUAAUUCUAAUUCUCUAUGGGAGAGAAGUUCUAAACUCUAACUUUGAUGGCUACCUCUGAUAAUGAUUUCUUCUCUUCUCUUCUCUCCCCCAGGGGUGGAGAGGCCUUAGUUAUAUAGUCCUUACAAGUGAAUUUGGGCCGUUGGAUCAAACCGACAUUGAUCGCACGGUUUUCCUUGAUCCUUUAGGUCGGUGGAGCUUGGUCCCCGAAAAGAGUUCUGAUUGGAGUCCAACCCAGGGCGGGCGCCUAAGGGGGGUGAGCGGCCGCCCUGCCCCCGAGCCCGAUCGUCGUCUCGUUCGUUCCCGUGGCUUCUGGACUCUUCUAGAUUGAGGAAAAUUGCGCGGCAUGUAAUUAUCUCGUUGUAAACAUGACUAUUGACACUUGCUAACACCACUUGAAUACUAGGUUGUCAUCCCCAGCAUGGCACUAGAGUGUACUAUGGUAUUUAUACGCACACAGAUAAUCUGCAAGCGCACGGAUACUAUUGAAGCUUUUACCCGGUUAAAGGUUUUAUCGUAUCCACAGGGAAACGGGAGAAUUGAUCUACGCUCUAACUUAACCAAGAUAAGUAAAUAGGUGUAAAUAGGAAAGAUGGUAGAAUCAAAUAAGAACAAUAUUAAAGGUAAGAUAACAGUGAGUGAUAAUAUGGGAAUAGAGAAUAGAGCAAUUCUAGUAUAUGGGCGAUGGUAGCAGAAUAGAGAGGGUAACUAUGGUUUCUCUACUUCAAAGGGGUUUGUCUAUGUCUGGGACGAACCAUGUGAUAAGAGUACACCACAAAGGAUGCUUAUCCUUUGGCCGAUAAACCCUACCCGUCCUGCUAACGAGAGGUGGACUACAGAGGACCAACGUAACUGUCACCUACGCGGCCUACCACACGAUCCAGCUAGACAGGGGAUAUCCACAAGUAAUCUAGAUCUAAGCACCUCGCUUACACCUAUACUACAACUCUCACCUAUAGCGUCCUAUAGAUUAGGAUACUCAAAAGAGUUGUGAACCAGAACAUACAUAAUUAGUAAUUGCAUAAUGAAUUAGAAGUAGAUUACCAGAGUCAUCCCAUGAGCAAGCUUGAUUAGAGCUUGAUCAUGACGAAGUACAACCGGAGGAAGAACCGACAGGCCGGCCUCUCCUCUAAUCCUUCUUCACUCUCCAUCUUGCUACUAUCUAGAUCUACUCUAGUUUAGAGAAGAGAGGAGAGCUCUCAUCUCUAAACCCUAGCUUUUGCUCUGUCUAUGAAUAAUGAAUAAUGAUCAAGGGGUGCCUCCUCCAGGGGCCAGGGGGUCUGGUUAUAUAGUCCCCUCAAGUGAACCUGGGCCGUCGGAUCAAACUAACAUUGAUUGAAUGGUUAUCCUUGAUCCUUUAGGUCGGUGGAGCUUGGUCCGCAAAGUUGGACGUGUUUGACUACAACUCCUGGGCGGGCGCCCUGCCUCUGGCCCCGUUCGGCCUCCGCCUCCUUCCCGUGGCUUCUGGAGUCUUCUAGAUGUAAGAUAAUUGCGCGGCACGUUAAUAUCUCUAUGUAAUCCCGACGUGUGGGCCUUUCUUCCUUAUUUCCUGAUAACCCCCUGCAGAAAUAGACAAACACCAAAACUCGUGGAAUUCUGUCAGAUAAAACCCUAAGUUUAGAUGUUGGUUGUAUUUGGAUCCUUUUCUUUAUUUAUUUGAUAAUUAAAUUUGAUACUUAAGGACCGUCAACAAACUCCCCCAAGCUUACCUCUUGCUCAUCCCUGAGCAAGGAUAGACUCAGCAAUGGAUCAGAAGUUGUUGCAAUAUCUUAAAAAUUUGACUGUACACAUGCUUUUAAAUAAGAUCUCAUCUCUGAGUUAGAGUAAACUGUCAAGAACUAAAACUUACUUACUUUACCUUUCACCAUGGGACUUGUAACCGUCACUUCUGUCUUGAGUAGUUAAAAGAUAGAACAGUCUAGCCAAGUGCCAUGUCUCUUAUUCUUGAUCAGCUAUAGCUCUGGAGUUUUUGCAGUUUUUCAAAUAAAACUCAGAGAUUCCUUGUAUGACUCUCUAAAUCUCUCUUUUAUGGUAUUUCUGGAUCCUUACCAAGGCAUGAUGGUAUAUGCCUUCUCUCAAGAUAUGUGGUAUUUGUGGUAUAAGGCAUAGUGACAUUGCCUUCUCUCUCACCCUACUCUAAUAAGGCUUUAAUAUCUGGAGCUCAUAGGUGGGAGACAGCUAAUACAUACUUACAAGACAUUUAUUGCAUAGUCAAACCAUGGAUCCAGAGAAACAAGUCAAUAAGUCAAAUCAAGAUGUGCAUGUGUGGCGAAUGAAUGGUGUAUGGUGAUGAUGGUGAUAACAAUGGUGGAAGUCUAAUUCUACUUUUGCUCUUUUGAGGGGAUACAUACCUUCCUUGCUUUUUGAAACUUUAUGAGGAGAAUGAGAUGCUCUAUCUUUCAUUUUUUUUCUUUCCUCUCAGGUGGGUAUCCUGUACCCCUAAUUCUACUGUCGGACACUUGUCCAUUUUUACCUCUCGUCUCACUCUUUUUUUUCUUUCGAGGUUCCAGGCACUUGCCCCUUUUUAUUUCCUCGUUUAUUAUUAUUUUUUCUUCUUUUCUCUCUCUUUUCUUUUUUUUCAGAGCACUCAUCUCUUGAGAUAAUAUAGCAAGUGGUAGUAGCAAGAUAACUUGAGCAUUUAUUUCACAAGAGAAAACAGAAAUAUUUUUGGCUAUUCUCUCCCGGAUUAGGAGUAGAAUAUUUUUGGGUGGUUCUGGAGAUGGAAAUGGGUGGAUAUAUGUGGAUGAUACUUCCGGAGUAGAAGUAGCAUAUAUGAGUGAACGUGCAAGUGAAAUCUUGAUUUAACCACAUGACAAGCUCCUAAGGGUCUACACAGCUUGACCACACUCAAUGCUCAUAAGCAGUAAAUAGUACAUGUAUGGUUCAUAGUCUAAUAAGCAUGUAUAUAUGGCUGUGGUAGGAAUUUAAACUUUCAUCAUACAGGAACUCAUCAUGCAAUAUUUUAAAGAUUUUUUAAAGAUAAAAUUCUCCAGAAUUGUAGCAUCUCUAGGAACAGAUAAACAGCAGCUCAACCUUCCCAUAUCAUAUCCGUUAACAGCUUAGAUUUCAGAUCAAGUUUUCAUCCCACAAGUUUAGAUCUAGAGCAAGCUUUAAAUUAUAACAGUUAUGUCUAAACUUGAGAGAGAACUUCAAAUUUGCAAAUUAGGCAGAGCAACUAUUCAUCAUAUCCAUGCUAGAGUUUUAUUAUUAAGAUUCAGAUUAGC